AGUGAGAUUAAAGAUGAAAAUUUAACUCAUUAUAUAUUUACAAAAAUUUAAAUUCAUUAGAUAUUAAAAGUACAACCUCAUAGAACGAAGGAGUUUGUAAUUGGCUAUAAUAUUAUAUUAUUCAAAAGAUCGAUUUCGUAUAGAAAACGAGCCCAAAAAUAUUAAGUAUUAGUUACUGAUAGUUUUGUGCAGAUGUUAUAACGAUCCAUCCCACUAGCACUAUUAAUUUAUUGUACUCAAACCGUUGAUU
rnacentral:lncRNA from 1 species